rnacentral:rRNA from 1 species
AUGCCCUCCUACAUUGCUCACAUGCACGGAGGUUUUGGGAUGAAGCACAAAUGUGGUUUGAUUUUUUACUCCCUCGGCUGCACCCUGCUACGUGGAGCAGGGAUAUUCUAUGUGAUGAACGGUUCUCGGAUCAAUUUAGGGAAAAGAUCAUAUCUACAUGGAUGGCGACCUCCUAAAGCUGGCCAAAUUACCAUUACUUACGACGACGCUUUGAACGGUGAGCUGGGAGUAAGGGGAGAUGGUGGUGUGGCAAGAUCUGCGUCAUCAUUCCUUGGAGCGUGGAAUAAGCCGUACGCUGGUGUAUCAGAUCCGUUGAUCAUGGAGGUGUUAGCCCUGCGAGAUGCUGUCAAGCUUGCUAAUAUCCGUGGAUUCACGCAGGUUCUCAUGGAGACCGACUAUCUACAAUUAGUUGAGCUUUGGUAUACCCAGAUGGCAUCACGUUCGGUGGUGGCACCACUGCUAGAUGAAAUAGGAUAG